rnacentral:rRNA from 1 species
UAGGGAAUCUUCCACAAUGGACGCAAGUCUGAUGGAGCAACGCCGCGUGAGUGAAGAAGGUUUUCGGACCGUAAAGCUCUGUUGUUGGUGAAGAAGGAUAGAGGUAGUAACUGGCCUUUAUUUGACGGUAAUCAACCAGAAAGUCACGGCUAACUACGUGCCAGCAGCCGCGGUAAUCGUAGGUGGCAAGCGUUGUCCGGAUUUAUUGGGCGUAAAGCGAGCGCAGGCGGAAGAAUAAGUCUGAUGUGAAAGCCCUCGGCUUAACCGAGGAAUUGCAUCGGAAACUGUUUUCUUGAGUGCAGAAGAGGAGAGUAGAACUCCAUGUGUAGCGGUGGAAUGCGUAGAUAUAUGGAAGAAUACCAGUGGCGAAGGCGGCUCUCUGGUCUGCAACUGACGCUGAGGCUCGAAAGCAUGGUAGCGAACAGGAUUAGAUACCCUGGUAGUCCAUGCCGUAAACGAUGAGUGCUAAGUGUUGGGAGGCUUCCGCCUCUCAGUGCUGCAGCUAACGCAUUAAGCACUCCGCCUGGGGGAGUACGACCGCAAGGUUGAAAC